rnacentral:rRNA from 1 species
UACGUAGGGGCCUAGCGUUGUCCGGAUUUAUUGGGCGUAAAGAGCUCGUAGGCGGUUCGGUAAGUCAGGUGUGAAAUCUCCACGCUCAACGUGGAGGCGGCACCUGAAACGGCCGUGACUCGAGUCCGGUAGGGGAGUGUGGAAUUCCAGGUGUAGCGGUGAAAUGCGUAGAUAUCUGGAGGAACACCGGUGGCGAAGGCGGCAUCCUGGACCGGUAUUGACGCUGAUGCGCGAAAGCCAGGGGAGCAAACGGG